rnacentral:rRNA from 1 species
AGUGAACGCUGGCGGUAGGCCUAACACAUGCAAGUCGAACGGCAGCACAGGAGAGCUUGCUCUCUGGGUGGCGAGUGGCGGACGGGUGAGGAAUACAUCGGAAUCUACUUUUUCGUGGGGGAUAACGUAGGGAAACUUACGCUAAUACCGCAUACGACCUACGGGUGAAAGCAGGGGACCUUCGGGCCUUGCGCGAUUGAAUGAGCCGAUGUCGGAUUAGCUAGUUGGCGGGGUAAAGGCCCACCAGGGCGACGAUCCGUAGCUGGUCUGAGAGGAUGAUCAGCCACACUGGAACUGAGACACGGUCCAGACUCCUACGGGAGGCAGCAGUGGGGAAUAUUGGACAAUGGGCGCAAGCCUGAUCCAGCCAUACCGCGUGGGUGAAGAAGGCCUUCGGUUUGUAAAGCCCUUUUGUUGGGAAAGAAAUCCAGCUGGCUAAUACCCGGUUGGGAUGACGGUACCCAAAGAAUAAGCACCGGCUAACUUCGUGCCAGCCGCCGCAGUAA